UUGGUUCUCCCGCAACGCUAUUCUGUUCACCAGGUCAGGUCCGGAAGGAAGCAGCCAGGGCAGAUGACGCGUGUGCCGGGAUGUAGCUGG
rnacentral:SRP_RNA from 1 species